rnacentral:rRNA from 1 species
UACGUAGGGGGCAAGCGUUGUCCGGAAUCAUUGGGCGUAAAGCGCGUGUAGGCGGCUUGGUAAGUCUGCUCUGAAAGCCCGGGGCUCAACCCCGGGAGGCGGGGUGGAUACUGUCAAGCUCGAGUCCGGAAGAGGAGUGUGGAAUUCCUGGUGUAGCGGUGAAAUGCGUAGAUAUCUGGAGGAAUACCGGUGGCGAAGGC